rnacentral:misc_RNA from 1 species
GUAAUUAUUAUGUUUUUUCUGACGCUGACUGCAAUUACAAAAGGUUUUAUAGUGUCCUAUCGGCAGGCAAAGCCCACCAAGGAAACAAAUAGUACGCAAAAGACAAGGGUUCAGACAGGGACCGAAGUCCCCCGAUAAAAUUGGUAAUGAUCCUUCCGCAGGUUCACCUACGGAAA